CCUGCCCGGUGAUAUAAUUUAACGGCCGCGGUAUACUGACCGUGCGAAGGAGCAUAAUCACUUGUUCUUUAAAUGGGGACUAGUAUGAAUGGCACCACGAGGGCUUUACUGUCUCCUUUCUUCAAUCAGUGAAACUGACCUCCCUGUGAAGAGGCAGGGAUACUACUAUAAGACGAGAAGACCCCAUGGAGCUUUAAACCCAACAACAGCCCAAACACCUACCCCCUCAAAGUUUUUAAAGUUUUGUUAGUUGGUUUUAGGUUGGGGUGACCGCGGAGUACAAACCACCCUCCACGACGAAUGGGCCUACCCCCUUACCCAAGAAUUACACCUCUAAGGAUUAACACAUUAACGUAAAAUGAUCCAAAUAUUUGAUCAACGAACCAAGUUACCCUGGGGAUAACAGCGCAAUCCAUUUUUAGAGCCCCUAUCGACAAAUGGGUUUACGACCUCGAUGUUGGAUCAGGGUAUCCCGGAGGUGCAGCCGCUUCCAAUGGUUUGUUUGUUCAACAAUUAAAACCCUACGUGAUC
rnacentral:rRNA from 1 species